GACGAACGCUGACGGCGUGCUUAACACAUGCAAGUCGAACGCUGAAGCUUGGUGCUUGCACUGGGUGGAUGAGUGGCGAACGGGUGAGUAAUACGUGAGUAACCUGCCCUUGACUCUGGGAUAAGCCUGGGAAACUGGGUCUAAUACUGGAUACGACAUGUCACCGCAUGGUGGUGUGUGGAAAGGGUUUUACUGGUUUUGGAUGGGCUCACGGCCUAUCAGCUUGUUGGUGGGGUAAUGGCUCACCAAGGCGACGACGGGUAGCCGGCCUGAGAGGGUGACCGGCCACACUGGGACUGAGACACGGCCCAGACUCCUACGGGAGGCAGCAGUGGGGAAUAUUGCACAAUGGGCGGAAGCCUGAUGCAGCGACGCCGCGUGAGGGAUGACGGCCUUCGGGUUGUAAACCUCUUUCAGCACGGAAGAAGCGAAAGUGACGGUACGUGCAGAAGAAGCGCCGGCUAACUACGUG
rnacentral:rRNA from 1 species